UUUAUAGAUCUAACAUUGUUGGGUUGAUGUUUAGACGAGUUGUAUAUACAUUAUGUACACAGCCAUGUAUCACCAUCAUUGAUGGCGAUCCGAUGGAUACAUCUGUUGUAGGGUUGUCACUGACUCAGACGUACUUAUGAAUAUAAUUAUUUUCUGUGACUGUAUCUUACAUUAAUUUGUAGGAUCCUUUACUAUAGAUAAUUUAGCUGAUCUGUAACAAUAAC
rnacentral:lncRNA from 1 species